GCCCGCGGGCCGUAGUUUGCCCACGGCUGCUCUAUCUGCUGAGCCAAAACAGCUAGGACUGAAUGGACUAUUUUAUAAUUGUUUUCCAGCUUUGCUAUUACAAAGAAUGCUCAGAUGUGUGUGUGUGUGUGUGUGUGUGUGUCAGGCUCAGCUUCAUUUACAAAUCUUCAGUGUUGCUUUCUUUAGUCCUGACCAUGAUCUCUUCUUUCCUUGGUCAGAAUAGUAAAUGGAAAGUGUAGCUUUGCAAACUAGGUUGAUGGUUUCUGCCCCGAGAGCAAGUUUUAGGAAGAUGCUUUUUGGCAACCAGACUGUCCCUGAGGGAUUAGACUUGUGCCUGAGGGAUUAGACCACUGGUUGGGUACACGCUCCACAGAAUCGCUCAGUAAAUGUUCAUCAGGCUCCGCACUAAGCUCUUUAUGCACAUUUAGCCCUUGAGACUUGCGGUAGGUCUCACCCUUAUUUUACAGCUGAUGAAAGGGGCCUGGAAAACAUCUGUGUUUCACAAUACGUGCUAGCAGAGAGACAGUCUUUGGGGCUGGCUGGAGGGCCUUGUGCGGCUUUAUUUGAGGAAGGUGGCCGGGGCUAUACUAACAGGAACCUGGUGCUAUGCCCUGAACUGAGGUCCUGGAGGAGGCCCUCUGAGUUUUAAUACUGGCUUCCUCUCCUGGAGCCAUAUAACCUCAGAGCCGGACCGUCUGCUCUGGGGUGAAAUGGAGAAUAGUAAGCCUCCAACAUUUCCCCUGUGGCUCAGGAAAGGAGGGGGCGGGUAGGGGAUGAGUUGUUUUUAAAUCAAAGUUGUGUGCAUAUUAAGGAGUCAGGUGGUUCAAUAAGGCUUGUAACAACAAUGGAUCUGCCAUCCCUGCUCUUUCCUUUCCUAAGGCACCGCUUUCAACCCUGGUUCCUCUGUGUCUCAGUGGUGGUAAGCCUUCCCUUCUGCAUGCACAGACCCUAACCUCACACCAUCACUGUAUUACUGGGUCUUAAUUUUGGUAAGAUCAGUAUUCUGAGCAUUUGAAAGGUAGUGCUGAGCUGCUGAGUCAUACAGUGACUCCACUGUGAUCACUUCCUGACAUUUUGUUGUCCUGUUCUUGUCACUAAUUGAUCUCAAAACUCCCAGUUGUCUGAUUUUGUCUUGGGACCAUCAAAAGCGACAGGCAUGGUCUCUCUCCAUCGUGGAAGGAAGCCUUACUCAGCUUCUCAUCUCAUCUGGACAAGUUGUAUAUCUGUCCUAAAAUCUUCCUCAUCCUUCUGGGCAUUUCUUUUACCUCCUUUGUUAAAUUUCCCAUUUCCCGUAGCCCAUUUUUCAUUUUUUUUUUCUUUUGGCUUAUUCCCUUGCUUUUGUGGAGAAUGCCCUCUAGCAGCUUCCUGAGAAAGAGCUGGGGAGGAGUUUGUUGAGACCUUGUGUGUCUGCACGUGUGUUUAUUCUGUCUUUACAUUUAAUUGGUAAUUUGAGUAUAGAGUUUAGGUUCGAAAUAAUCCCCCUUCAGAGAAUUGACGGCACUGCAUUGGUGGAAGUCUGAACCCUUUCUGAUUACUUGGUGCGUGUGCCCCGCCUUCCUUGCCGGAAGCUUGUUGGGGUAUUUACUGCUUAGUGUGGCUAACUUGACAGUGCAGGGAUGGUUUAUUUGUCAGUGGACUGAGCACUCACUCCUGCGAAGCCCAGAAAUUCACAUCCUUCAGUUCUAGGAACUUCCUGAAUUACUGUGAUAUCCUCUACACCUUUUUCUUUUUUCUCCUAAGCUAUUGAACGAGUCCUCUAAUUUCUCAUUUUUUUGCUCAAUACAUUCUUACUUCUCUGACCUUGUCCUUUAUGUUCUAUUUCAUGGAUGCGAUCAGUACCUUUUUCUUAAAUAUUAAGGAUAAUUUUAAUUUGUUAACAUAGUUCCCAUUUUUGGCUCUGGCUUUUGCUCUGGUCUGUGUCCUGCCAAGGCUUUCCUUGGCUGCCGGGUGCUCUUUGAUCUCAUAUUUAAGAGCAGAAUGAAGUGCUGGUGGGAAGCUCAGUGCACAGGCGGUGCUGGUGGGACUGUGGCGCCUUUGUCACAGGCAGUGCUUUUCCACUAGUUGUGAUUUUGUGGCAAUAUGUCAAAUUAUUGGCAAUAUUGAGACUUCUGGUUGUCACAGUUGGGGGAUGUUACUGGCCUGAGAAAUCUUGCUAUGGACACCCUACAGUGUACAGGGGCCCCACACAAAGACUUAACCCAGACUAAAAUGUCGAAAGUGUUGAGGUGGAGAAACCCUGGGUGAGGUGAUCCCAGAGAAGAGCCAGGUCUUGGUGUGACUCAAAUCUGUGGGGCUGGCUGGGAAGAGGUCACUGUUCAACUGCAAAAGUAGGUUUACAGCUCACCGGUAGUUCCUGCUUUGUGGCUUCUACAUGCACGGAUUCUAUACCACCGUUUGGGUAAAUAACCCAGUCUCCCAGCAACGUGGUUCAAAUUUCAGUUGCUGUGGCACAUGUACUAACUCGAAUGCUAGCUCUCCAGGCCAGAAAGCACACCUAGAGCCGAGGCGCAUCGGCACCAGUGACCUGCCCAGGUCCCCCCCUCACCAGUGGGUGGCUGCUUGCUGCGCAUCUGUUACUCUGCUCACUCAAGAUGACAGAGCUCUUGGCGUCGUCUCCUGUUCUCCCAGCGGUGGAGAGGGCUGCAGAGAUAGUGCUUUUAGUGCCCCUGAUGGGUUAGCUCCUCAUUCUCUUAGGGACUUGGACAAAAGUAUCAAAACGUGCUUUUUUACCAUCAAACACAGCUCUCAUCAAUUCGGCCAGUGGAAAAAGAGGUUAUUUCCACUUCUCAUGGACUUCUGGACAGGCUGUUGCUGCUACGACUGGAGAUUUUACAAUGUCUUUAGCUGAGGUUUGGAAGAAAUUGAAAGCAUCGUAGCAAAAAGUGACAGAAAUGCACAGUGUGGCAGAAUUCAAACUGAACAUAAACUGGCUUGUAUUUGACCGUGGAAAGGCUGGUGCUGCUGCUGUGAGGAAGUUGGUGAAGGUGACCUUGUCAACAUGAGGGAGGAAAGGGUGCAGAUGUCUCAGAGGAAGUGACUGAUGGGACUUCACACGCAGGGCCUUCUCAGAGGUGGUUCACGGCAGUGAGAAAAGGUCUGAUGGGGGAAGCCCAUCCCAAAACACUUCUACCCCAAUAUUUCUAAUGAUUUAAAUCAGUGGACUAAGUAAAUAGUAGCUUAACUAUUUUUUUAUUUCCAUAUACAUUUAUAACUGUCAUUUAAUGUUUUGAGAAAAAAAUUUUAAAGCUCAUGGGACAACCAUCUUACCUGUUGGUUAUUAGACCACCUUGCAUGGUCACAUUUGUGGACCCACAGCUACUGUGCAGAGCGAGGGCGGCCUUUGUGUUACUUGCCCUCAGCUCUGCCCACUGUUUCCCAACCCAUGGGCCCUCCAUGGUGCCCUUUAUAAAAUAAACGUCCAGUCUGAUGCCACGCGGAAGACCAUGCCUGACCGCAGCGUGGGGCACAGGCGUGGUGAUUUCAAAUAUACAUGAAAAUAGAAGAGUAUAAUGAACCGCGGUACCAGGUGCCCUCCAUCCAGCUCCAACAACAGUCAGCAUUCUGCUCUCGCAUCUGCUUCUCCCUCUCACAAACGUUUUUUACCGGAGUAUUUUAAACCAAAUGUCUUCUGACCUGUAUAUUACUUGAGGCUAUGUCUAAAGGUGAUGUUUUUAAAUGUCACCACAGGUGCCCCGACUGCUUCCUAGACUCUGAGUGACAGCCUUUCAGGGGCCACCUUAGCCUCGGCCGUCUCAGGUCGGUCCCUUGUCCCCAUGUGCUAUCCCGCUGCCACAGUUCAGUGGUUUUGUCUCCUAGCCCGAUGACUGUGAUACCGUUGUAAUGAACUAGUUACUAAUAAUAGAAAAGAAACAAAGGGAAGACUAGACAUAGACAUGGUCCCUGCAAACCACGGGGAGGGAAACACACGGAAUGUAGGGGCAUCCCCAGGAAAGUUGAGAUGACAAAGGCAAUACGACUUGCUUGUCAGUCACACCUGGGAACAGAGGUCAUUGGCCAGAGUGGGUGUGAGAUAUAUAAUUUCCUAAACAAAUUCACUCUCUUGGUUCCUCUUGGCAUGCUUGGCUCAUGGCUCAUGGCUCAUGGCUCAUGCUCGGCUACCUGGCAUUCUCCCGUGUGGCCCAUGACCACGCGGACCCCACACACAAUGGACUAAUGGACUGCAGCUAGCCUUUGCUGUCCUGGACCCAGCGCAACAUGGAAUGGAAACUGAACACUGACUUUGCUUCUAGCUUUACUGAAACCCAGAUUAUACUUCUAUAACUGGAAAUAAAGCUUUCUACCAUACCUCA